rnacentral:misc_RNA from 1 species
GAAAAUCCUAUUAUAUAGAACAGGCAACAAAAGAGAAGGGAGGGAAUUGAUUGAGAAAAACGCAUGCACCCCACCCAUGCAAAGUUCAUCAACACCUUAAUUACUUUAAUUAUUAUUAGUUUUUGGUACAUACUAAUUAUCACACAAAAACCACUGAAAAUUACACCAAGAAAUGAGAAAACCAAAGCUGCAAACUUAGAAAUGAAAACCCAAAU